CCUACGGGAGGCAGCAGUGAGGAAUAUUGGUCAAUGGACGAGAGUCUGAACCAGCCAAGUAGCGUGAAGGAUGACUGCCCUAUGGGUUGUAAACUUCUUUUAUAUGGGAAUAAAAUGUUCCACGUGUGGGAUUUUGUAUGUACCAUAUGAAUAAGGAUCGGCUAACUCCGUGCCAGCAGCCGCGGUAAUACGGAGGGUCCGAGCGUUAUCCGGAUUUAUUUGGGUUAAAGGGAGCGUAGGUGGAUUGUUAAGUCAGUUGUGAAAGUGUGCGGCUCAACCGUAAAAUUGCAGUUGAAACUGGCAGUCUUGAGUACAGUAGAGGUGGGCGGAAUUCGUGGUGUAGCGGUGAAAUGCUUAGAUAUCACGAAGAACUCUGAUUGCGAAGGCAGCUCACUGGACUGCAACUGACACUGAGGCUCGAAAGUGUGGGUAUCAAACAGGGUUAGAUACCCGGGUAGUC
rnacentral:rRNA from 1 species